rnacentral:rRNA from 1 species
CCUACGGGUGGCAGCAGUGAGGAAUAUUGGUCAAUGGCCGGAAGGCUGAACCAGCCAUGCCGCGUGAAGGUCAGUGCCCUAUGGGCGUUAAACUUCUUUUGUGCGGGAGCAAUAAUGGUCACGUGUGGCCAGACGAGAGUACCGUACGAAUAAGCAUCGGCUAACUCCGUGCCAGCAGCCGCGGUAAUACGGGGGAUGCAAGCGUUAUCCGGAUUUAUUGGGGUUAAAGGGUGCGUAGGCUGGUAGGUAAGUCAGCGGUGAAAUGCCCCCGCUCAACGGGGUGAAGUGCCAUUGAUACUGCCUUGUGAGAAGGCGGAUGCCGGGGGAGGAAUGUGUGGUGUAGCGGUGAAAUGCAUAGAUAUCACACAGAACACCGAUUGCGAAGGCAUCUCACGAAUCCGCGAUUGACGCUGAUGCACGAAAGCGUGGGUAUCAAACAGGAUUAGAUACCCGAGUAGUC